ensembl:snRNA U1 U1 spliceosomal RNA
GUACUUACCUGGCAGGGGAGAUACCGUGAUCAAGAAGGCGGUUCACCCAGGGCGAGGCUCGGCCAUUGCACUCCGGCUGUGCUGACCCCUGCGAAUUCCCCAAAUGUGAGAAUCUCAACCGCUUACAUUUUUUUGGGCAGUGGUGGCCUAGC